rnacentral:misc_RNA from 1 species
ACAUAAAGAAUAUACAUUACCUUCCAUUACUUUCCCAUUAUUUCCCAAAUAUGAGAUUUCUUUUAUUAUAACCCUCCUUAUCCUUCCUCUUCCUUACCCUUCAAUUACUUACACUUUCCUUACCCUAUCCAAACAAACCCUAAAUACCCAAAAUUUCAAAAUGAAAAUGGCAAAAUAUUCUAGUGGCCUUGAUAAAACUCUCUGAUAUUUGUUGCUCCCUCACAUUUAACCUCCAGAAAUAUGGUCCACAUACUCAACGAACAAGAAACCAUGGUUAUUAAAGGCGAGCCUUAGGCUCAAGGCUCUACAAGCUCCAACACUAGCGCCUUAUGCGCCUAAACGUGCGUCUUUGUUCCAGGCACAAGAAAUUAAAAAGUUAUGCAUUCUUUAUUUCCACCUUAGUAAGCACUUCCAUUGGCAAAAAAAAAAACUACCACUUAAACUUGAUAUUUGUUGA